UACGUAGGGUGCAAGCGUUGUCCGGAAUUAUUGGGCGUAAAGAGCUCGUAGGCGGUUUGUCGCGUCUGCUGUGAAAACUCGGGGCUUAACUCCGGGCCUGCAGUGGGUACGGGCAGACUAGAGUGCGGUAGGGGAGACUGGAAUUCCGCGUGUAGCAGUGAAAUGCGUAGAGAUGCGGAGGAACACCGAUGGCGAAGGCAGCCCCCUUGGCUAGCACUUGCGCUUAGGCACGAAAGCGUGGGGAGCAAACAGG
rnacentral:rRNA from 1 species